rnacentral:lncRNA from 1 species
GGCGCGGCCAUAUUUGGCGAUUUCGGCGCCGCCGGAGCCCUGCCCGCCUCCGCCGGGAAGCCCGGCCCGGGGCAGCGCCAUCCCCGCCCGCCGCCGGGCCUGAGUCACGGCGGGCGGGGGGCGGAAGUAACGGACGGGGGGCGCCCGCCCGGCGCUCCUGGCCUUAUUUAGUCAAGGAGGCCGCCGAUUGGCGCGCGGGACAAAGGGGCGGCGGCCGGGCAGCCUCGGGGCGUAGGAGUGGCCCGGCGCCUCCGAGGGGUCGGGGCGGGAGCCGGGCGUGGGGGGCCUCGGAGCCUGGGGAGUCCCGGGACCGACGGCGGCGGGGAUGCGGGUCUGCCUGUCCCUGGGAUGCGGGCGGGCGGGCAGGGCGAGGCCUGGAGCCCGCGGGGCGCAGGGGGGCUGGACCGCGCGCUGUGAUUUUUCUGUUUUGCAGCGGGGCCUCGCCCAAGGUCGCGCGGGGCCUGUCCUGGAUAUGCUCCGGGAAGCCAGUGGCGCAGGACAGCCGCCACCCUUCUGGAACCAGUGCCGGAGAGGGCCGGGCAGCUGGGCCUGGGGAGGGGACCGCAUGGAUGGAGCUGGGGGUAGCUGGGCGGCCUCCGGAGCCGGGAGAGUCGGCAGCUGCACUUCCGCCAGAGUUUCGGCCCAUUUAGUGGAUACGACAACAGUGGCCCAGGGAAGUAUGGCAGAGCUGAGACUUAACCCAGGGCCUGCGCCCUCCACGGCCUGCGCCCUCCACGGCCUGCACUGCCCCACCUCCAGCUCCUUGCCCUGUUCCUCCCUCUGCACCGGAUCAGCCCCCGGACUCUGGGUCACCUCCACACCUGUUGACAGGGCCCCCCAGUCCCCACCGCCAACCACCUGGCCGGCUACUUGUCAGACAGACAUGGGAGCUUGGGCAUGGGUCCCCACCCCUAGCCUUUGCCUCUGUCAGUCUACCUGCCUGGAAUGUCUACUUUUUCUUUAUAUUUUAUUUUAUUGUAUUUUUGAGACAGUCUCACUGUCGCCCAGGCUGGAGCGCAGUGGCGCGAUCUUGGCUCGCUGCAACCUCUGUCUCUGGGGUUCAAGCGAUUCUCGGGCCUUAGCCUCCCGAGUAGCUGAGACUACAGGCAUGCACCACCAUGCCUGGCUAAUUUUUGCAUUUUUGGUGGAGACAGGGUUUCACCAUGUUGGCCAGGCUGGCCUGAACUCCUGACCUUAAGUGAUCCACUCGCCUAGGCCUUCCAAAGUGCUGGGAUUACAGGCGUGAGCCACCGCACCCAGCCUGGAGUGUCUCAUCUUCCACCACUAAAUGAAACGAUGGACCCUGAACAGAAAAAGGAACAGUGGUGGAAGAACUAGCAAAGCCUGCAGCCUUGAGUUUGGUCGUAUCAAGGUUAAUCUCUCAGUUAUGGCAGUUGUCCCAUGACCGUGUAAGAUGCCAGGUUAGGGGACACUGGGAAUAGAGCAUUGGGAAACCUUCCCACUGUCUUUGCAACUUUUCUGUAAGUUUAAAGUUCUCCCAUAAUAAAAAGCUAACUUGAA